GGGGCAGCAGGGGGUAGCAAUACCCCGCUGGCGACCGGCGCACGGGUGCGUAACGCGUAUGCAACCUGCCUCCAACAGGGGGAUAACCCAGAGAAAUCCGGACUAAUACCCCGUAUAGUAGCGAGACCGCAUGAUCUUGCUACGAAAGUUUCGGCGGUUGGAGAUGGGCAUGCGUGACAUUAGCUAGUUGGUGAGGUAACGGCCCACCAAGGCUGCGAUGUCUAGGGGAGCUGAGAGGCUAAUCCCCCACACUGGUACUGAGACACGGACCAGACUCCUACGGGAGGCAGCAGUGAGGAAUAUUGGUCAAUGGUCGGAAGACUGAACCAGCCAUGCCGCGUGAGGGAAGAAGGCCCUACGGGUUGUAAACCUCUUUUGCACGGGAGUAAUAAGAGCCUUGCGAGGCCCGAUGAGAGUACCGUGCGAAUAAGCAUCGGCUAACUCCGUGCCAGCAGCCGCGGUAAUACGGAGGAUGCGAGCGUUAUCCGGAUUUAUUGGGUUUAAAGGGUGCGUANGCG
rnacentral:rRNA from 1 species